rnacentral:rRNA from 1 species
UACGAAGGGUGCAAGCGUUACUCGGAAUUACUGGGCGUAAAGCGUGCGUAGGUGGUUUGUUAAGUCUGAUGUGAAAGCCCUGGGCUCAACCGGGAAUUGCAUUGGAUACUGGCAGGCUAGAGUGCGGUAGAGGAUGGCGGAAUUCCCGGUGUAGCAGUGAAAUGCGUAGAGAUCGGGAGGAACAUCUGUGGCGAAGGCGGCCAUCUGGACCAGCACUGACACUGAGGCACGAAAGCGUGGGGAGCAAACAGG